GUAUACAAUACUAGUUGAUCUAAAAAAUAACGGAGGAUUGGUAUAUGCAUCACAUGAUGUAUAUAAGAUUGUUUGCAGUACCGAAAAGGAAUUCUCUUUUUUAAUAGGAGAUAGCCGUACACAGAUUCCAAAAAGAGAUAAUAGAUGCUUUGACGGAUUAGAAGUUGGAGUAGACACUCCACAUUGUGUUCAACUAAUAACUGCUAUAAUAUUAUGUCUAAGGAAUAAAUUGUCUAAGAAAAAUA